UAUAGUGAUGACACGAUGUCGCCCCAAACGGAGGCUCCUAUUCAGGACUAUGACCGAUUCGAUUCAUGCCAAACACACUGAAAAUUCUGAGA
rnacentral:snoRNA from 1 species